rnacentral:rRNA from 1 species
CCUACGGGAGGCAGCAGUAGGGAAUAUUGCUCAAUGGGCGAAACUCUGAAGCAGCAACGCCGCGUGGAGGAUGAAGGCUUUAGGAUUGUAAACCUCCUUUGUUAGAGAAGUUUAUGACGGUACGUAACGAAUAAGCACUGGCUAACUCCGUUCCAGCAGCCGCGGUAAUACGCAGGCUGCAAGCGUUAUACGGAUUUACUGGGCGUAAAGAGUGCGUAGGCGGAGUAACAAGUCAGUUGUGAAAUCCUGGAGCUUAACUAGAGAACUGCAUGUAAACCUGUUACUCUGGAGUUUGGGUGAGGUAGGUGGAAUUCUUGGUGUAGCGGUGAAAUGCUUAGAGAUCAAGAAGAAUACUGAUUGCGAAGGCGGCCUACUGGAACAUUACUGACGCUGAUGCACGAAAGCGUGGGGAGCAAACAGGAUUAGAUACCCGAGUAGUC